AAUAGAUACCCGGGUAGUCCACGCCGUAAACGAUGAGUGCUAGGUGUUAGGGGGUCCAACCCUUAGUGCCGAAGUUAACACAUUAAGCACUCCGCCUGGGGAGUACGGUCGCAAGACUGAAACUCAAAGGAAUUGAACGGGGGCCCGCACGAAGCGGUGGAGCAUGUGGUUUAAUUCGAAGCAACGCGAAGAACCUUACCAGGGCUUGACAUCCCUCUGACCGUUCUAGAGAUAGAGCUUCCCUUCGGGGCAGAGGUGACAGGUGGUGCAUGGUUGUCGUCAGCUCGUGUCGUGAGAUGUUGGGUUAAGUCCCGCAACGAGCGCAACCCUUGUCCUUAGUUGCCAGCAUUCAGUUGGGCACUCUAGGGAGACUGCCGGUGACAAACCGGAGGAAGGUGGGGAUGACGUCAAAUCAUCAUGCCCCUUAUGUCCUGGGCUACACACGUGCUACAAUGGCUGGUACAAAGGGUAGCGAAGCAGUGAUGUGGAGCCAAUCCCAAAAAGCCAGUCACAGUUCGGAUUGUAGG
rnacentral:rRNA from 1 species